rnacentral:rRNA from 1 species
UAAUUGCGAAUGAACAAGGAAUUGCUCAGCUUGAAAAUUGGGGCCUUUGGCUUUGAAUUGUAAUUUUGAAAUGUAUUGCCAAUGGAGGCGCAGGUGCAAGCCUAUUGAAAGAAAGCGUCAAUGAGGGUGAAAUUCCUUUUUGUCAUUUGCAGUCCUCUGUGCACGGUAUAUAUUUGACGAGUCACACUCCUCGGCAUUGGAAUGCAAAGUGGGUGGUAAAUUCCAUGUAAAGGUAAAUAUAUUAUUGAGACUGAUAGCAAACAAGUACCAUGAGGGAAAUAUGAAAAGGACUUUGAAAAGAGAAUUAAAAGAGUCUGCAUUUGCUGAACAGAAAGCAAACAGAAUUGAAUUUGCUUGGCGAGAUUGUUGUGCCCACUCUAUCAUUCAUAUGGUGGGUGUGGGUGCGAUGGUUCUUACUUUGGUUGCCAGCUUCUAUUUCUGCAAAUCGUUACACUUGCACAUGAAUGGUAAUUUGCCUGCGGGUAUUGGAAUGCAUGUGUUUGCAAUGAUUUGAGAUUUGUGGUAUGUGUCUGGUGUUUGUGUAUAUGCUCUUUUGGCAAAAAGGAAUUGUUGUUCAUUGAGCAUUGCAAACCCUUGCGCAUUAAUGCUGGCAAAAUGUUUCUGCUUGACCCGUCUUGAAACACGGACCAAGGAGUCUAACAGAUGUGCAAGUUCGUGGGUGGCAAACCUUUUUGCGCAAUGAAAGUAUUGGCUGGGAUAUUUGCACCAGCAGCCGACCGAUUAGCAGACAGAGGUUUGAGUUUGAGCAUAUUUAUUAGGACCCGAAAGAUGGUGAACUAUGCCUGAACAGAAUGAAUUCAGAGGAAACUCUGAUGGAGGUUCGUAUCGAUACUGACGUGCAAAUCGUUCGUCAUACUUGGGUAUAGGGGCGAAAGACUAAUCGAACCAUCUAGUAGCUGGUUCCCUCCGAAGUUUCCCUCAGGAUAGCUGGAGUUGCACAGUUUUAUCAGGUAAAGCGAAUGAUUAGAGGAAUUGGGGACACGCUGUCCUUGACCUAUUCUCAAACUUUAAAUGGGUAAGAUGCAAUGGUUGCUUUAUUGAACUUUUGGAAUAAAUGGCAAUAUCAGGUGGGCCAUUUUUGGUAAGCAGAACUGGCGAUGAGGGAUGAACCUAACGUUGGGUUAAGGUGCUUAAUUGCUUGCUCAUUAGAUACCAGAAAGGGUGUUGGUUCAUUUUAACAGCAGGACGGUGGUCAUGGAAGUCGAAAUCCGCUAAGGAGUGUGUAACAACUCACCUGCCGAAUGGACUAGCCCCGAAAAUGGAUGGCGCUCAAGCGGGUGACCGAUACCCAACCACUGUUGCAAAAUUUUUCAGUGUGUAGGAGGGCAUGGCGGUUUGUGAUGCAGCCUUUGGUGAAAA